rnacentral:rRNA from 1 species
CAAACGWCUCUCGGCAACGGAUAUCUCGGCUCACGCAUCGAUGAAGAACGUAGCAAAAUGCGAUACUUGGUGUGAAUUGCAGAAUCCCGUGAACCAUCGAGUUUUUGAACGCAAGUUGCGCCCGAAGCCUUUUGGCCGAGGGCACGUCUGCCUGGGCGUCACAC